rnacentral:rRNA from 1 species
CCGGCGAACGGGUGCGUAACACGUGAACAACCUGCCCUCGUGUGGGGGAUAGCCAUGCUAACGCGUGGGUAAUACCGCAUACGUUCCUCUGGGGGAGUCCCUGGGGGAGGGAAAGCUCCGGCGCACGGGGAGGGGUUCGCGGCCUAUCAGCUAGUUGGCGGGGUAAUGGCCCACCAAGGCGACGACGGGUAGCUGGUCUGAGAGGAUGGCCAGCCACAUUGGGACUGAGAGACGGCCCAG